UACGGAGGGAGCUAGCGUUAUUCGGAAUUACUGGGCGUAAAGCGCACGUAGGCGGCUUUGUAAGUCAGAGGUGAAAGCCUGGAGCUCAACUCCAGAACUGCCUUUGAGACUGCAUCGCUUGAAUCCAGGAGAGGUGAGUGGAAUUCCGAGUGUAGAGGUGAAAUUCGUAGAUAUUCGGAAGAACACCAGUGGCGAAGGCGGCCACCUCGGACG
rnacentral:rRNA from 1 species